GACCCAGACUCCUACGGGAGGCAGCAGUGGGGAAUAUUGCACAAUGGGGGAAACCCUGAUGCAGCAACGCCGCGUGAGUGAAGAAGUAUUUCGGUAUGUAAAGCUCUAUCAGCAGGGAAGAAGAUGACGGUACCUGACCAAGAAGCCCCGGCUAACUACGUGCCAGCAGCCGCGGUAAUACGUAGGGGGCAAGCGUUAUCCGGAUUUACUGGGUGUAAAGGGAGCGCAGACGGCAGUGCAAGUCUGGAGUGAAAGCCCGGGGCCCAACCCCGGAACUGCUCUGGAAACUGUGGAGCUUGAGUGCGGGAGGGGCAGGCGGAAUUCCUAGUGUAGCGGUGAAAUGCGUAGAUAUUAGGAGGAACACCGGCGGCGAAGGCGGCCUGCUGGACCGUAACUGACGUUGAGGCUCGAAAGCGUGGGGAGCAAACAGGAUUAGAUACCCUCGUAAA
rnacentral:rRNA from 1 species